rnacentral:snRNA from 1 species
GCCUUUGCACAGUGGCAGCAUCGCACCCAAUGAGAUCUGUCCAAGGCGUGAUUGUUGCUAAUCAAAGACUUUUCCCAGUACCCCACCAAUGAUGACUUGAAAUGUAGUUGGCAUUGGCAAUUUUUUUUUUAAGAUUUAUUUA